rfam:Azotobacter vinelandii DJ, complete genome.
GACGUCGACGGAUCGACGCAAGCCGACCAGGGAUGGCGGCCGGGGAGAGUCGCAGGAUCGCGGCUUCAUCAGGACGAUGAACCCAGGGACGUGGUGGUGAGACAUGAACGGCGAGGCUGACCCCUCGCCGUUUUUGU